UGGGGGAAUUUUUGGACAAUGGGCGAAAGCCUGAUCCAGCAAUGCCCCGUGUGUGAAGAAGGCCUUCGGGUUGUAAAGCACUUUUGUCCGGAAAGAAAUCCUUGGCUCUAAUACAGUCGGGGGGAUGACGGUACCGGAAGAAUAAGCACCGGCUAACUACGUGCCAGCAGCCGCGGUAAUACGUAGGGUGCAAGCGUUAAUCGGAAUUACUGGGCGUAAAGCGUGCGCAGGCGGUUUGCUAAGACCGAUGUGAAAUCCCCGGGCUCAACCUGGGAACUGCAUUGGUGACUGGCAGGCUAGAGUAUGGCAGAGGGGGGUAGAAUUCCACGUGUAGCAGUGAAAUGCGUAGAGAUGUGGAGGAAUACCGAUGGCGAAGGCAGCCCCCUGGGCCAAUACUGACGCUCAUGCACGAAAGCGUGGGGAGCAAACAGGAUUAGAUACCCUGGUAGUCCACGCCCUAAACGAUGUCAACUAGUUGUUGGGGAUUCAUUUCCUAGUAACGUAGCUAACGCGUGAAGUUGACCGCCUGGGGGAGUACGGUCGCAAGAUUAAAACUUAAAGGAAUUGACGGGGUCAUAGCUGUUUCCU
rnacentral:rRNA from 1 species